AUUCAGCUGACGAGUCCCAAAUAGAAAGGAACACGCGUCCUGCAU
rfam:Schistosoma rodhaini strain Burundi genome assembly, scaffold: SROB_scaffold0000897